rnacentral:lncRNA from 1 species
AGUUCAGCACUAUCGUAGUUUUCAUCUUUUCUUGAAUGACAAGAUUCAAUAUUGGAUAAUCUAAAGGCUUUUUUGGUAGAGUUUUGAUCUAUGUAUGGAAAACAUGAUGCAAUUCAUGUUGCAACCAAUAAGAUUCGUAUUUUACGACAAGGUAAUCGAUCAAUAAUGAUAUACACUUCACAAUUUUGACAACUUGCAACUGAUAUCAAGUGAGAUGAUGCUGCACUUAUUAGUUAAUUUUUCUACGGAUUAUAAUAUGAGGUAAGAAAAAAUUAAUGCUCAACUUACCUGAUCUACAAACAUUGAGUCAAGCAAUUGACUUUGCUGUGAAGUGCUACAAUU